rnacentral:tRNA from 1 species
GAAGGUAUAGUUCAGUGGUAGAGUGCGUGCUUAGCACGCACAAGGUCCUGGGUUCAAUCCUCAGUACUUCCC